rnacentral:rRNA from 1 species
UACAGAGGGUGCAAACGUUGCUCGGAAUUAUUGGGCGUAAAGAGCUCGUAGGCGGUGUGUCGCGUCGGCCGUGAAAACCUGUGGCUUAACUAUGGGCUUGCGGUCGAUACGGGCAUCACUGGAGUUCGGCAGGGGAGACUGGAAUUCCUGGUGUAGCGGUGAAAUGCGCAGAUAUCAGGAGGAACACCGGUGGCGAAGGCGGGUCUCUGGGCCGAUACUGACGCUGAGGAGCGAAAGCGUGGGGAGCGAACAGG